ACUUUCCCUUCUAAUUAUACAGAUACACUUGGGUUCUUCAGCUGUAUGGAGCAAAGUAACCAUUGCCAGACUGCUGACCACAUUGCUUGCUCUUACUGAAGUCCAGUGUAUUUGGUCUGGCAGUAUUUCUAAUUCAAUGGUUGAGCGUGAUCUUGCAAGGCUCCAGUGAGAGUGCCUUUUAGAGACUGCAUGACUGGAACCAUGAUCUAAGCAGGCUGAAGCAGAAAACCUCAGGUUACAUUCAUCAUUGGGAAAGACUUUGAAAAGACCACUUGAUGCACCAUCAAUAACUCUCUCUGAGAUGUAAAGGUGAGAUAUCGGCUUUUAUUGACUGGAAGAAGGAAGAAGGAACAUGCAGUGGUUGACCACCAUACUACAUCCUGGAGACUGAGAGGCCGGGCUCAGAACUCAAUUGCCUUUAUACAGGGGUCUGUGGGAGGAGCCACAGGAGCAGUCAGCAGGGGGCGUGUCCAGACAGAUUAUACGCUUAUCUUGAGUUAAGGAGCUUGCAGAUGGUGUAAAAGUCAGCCAUCUGGUCGAUAGAGAAAAAACACACUGCAGUUUUAGUCAAGUGUGAAGCCGUGCAUUCAGCAAGAGCAAACAAGGUAAAGAAACAUAGUUGGUAGAAUACUGACAACUGUACGAGGAGAACCUGGGGUAUACAUCCAUGGACAUUGUGAAGGUAGCAAGUGAGCAGCUCAAGACAAACAAGAGAAGGCUUUAUUAGCCAAAGUGUAGAAUUUAUGAGCAGGGAGGUGAUCCUGAAGCUAUAUAAACCAGUGAUUAUGCAUCAGUUAGAGAACUAUAUACAGUUCUGGAUGCAGUUUUGACUGUAAUUGCCCUCAAGAGAUUCACAAGAAUUUUGCCAAGACAGAAGUCAGUGCCAGAUUAGAAACUCCACUCCACCACAGUCACAGGAGCACAAUCAGGGUAUGGGUGCUGAGUGCUUGAGAUACCUAUCAGAUUGCAUUGAUUCCAGCCAGGCCGUGCAGUCAUGCCUUCAGUAGCCAUGCAGCUACUCUAAAAUAAUGUGACUGUGCAGCUCCAAAUGGAUCUUGGUGGAAUGGAGUUUCUAAGGGAAAAGAGGAAGGUAGGGCAGUAGAUAUUAUCUAUAUGGCCUUUGACAAGCUCCCACAUGGAAGGGUGAUCUGGAAAGUUUGGUUGCAUGAGAUUCAGGGGAAGCUAGUAAGAGGAUUCAGAGUUGGCUCAAUGAUGGGCGGUGAUGGUUGAAGGUCAAAUCUCCAACAGGAGUCCUGUGCCUAGCGGUGUGCUCUCAGUGUUAGGAACCCUGUUAUUUAUCAUUUAUAUAACUAUUCUGGAUGUGAAUGUAUCUGUCAUUAUUAGCAAGUUCCGAAUGAUACCUAAUUAGGAUGUCUUGUUGAUAAUGAAGCAGGUUACAUGAAUUACAAAAAUAUUGUGAUCAGUUAGGGAGAUGGGCUGGGGAAUAGCAAAUGGUUUUCAAUUAGGUAAGUGAGGAGAUACAUGUUGUACAUUCAAACCAGGAUAGGACCUAUAUCCUGAAUGGCAAAGCAUUGACAAGUAUUGUGGGAGCACAAGUGCACGAUAUGCUAAAAGUGAUCUUGCAAGGUGAAGAAGGUAUCUAGCAUUCUGGCCUUCAUCAGUCAAGAAAUCAAGUUCUGGAGUAGAGAUCAUAUGUUACAGUUAUACAAGUCAUAGGUAAGGAUGCACUUGGAUUAUAGUGUACACUUUUGGUCAGCUUUUUAUAAGAAAGACGUUGUCAAGGGGAGGGUAGAGAAAGGACUUACAAGCAUGCUGCCAGAGGCAGUGGUUGAAGCAGGUACAGUCACACCAUUUAAGGGGCAUUUGGAUAGGUACAUGGAGGGGAAGGGUUUGGAGUGUUAUGUGCUGAAAACCGAUCUGGAACUUGUAGGGAAGAUGCUAUGGUCAGCAUGGACCAUUGGCCGAAGGGUCUGUUUUCAUUCUGCAGCACACUAUGACCUCUGGCACCAAUGCUGCAAUCCCUCUGUGAAGCCCUGAAAGGCCGCCAGGCCUCAGGCCCCAGGGUUUAGUCCUGCCCUCAAGUUGCCCGAAUACUCUGACAGCUCGUGAUCAAAGCAAAUAGUUGUAAGAAAUUAUGUGAAAACAUGUGAAACUUCAGUUAAUUAAAAUAUAUACAGAAAUAUAAAGAAAAAUAAAAAUGUUAACUUUCACUUCUUUUUCAUGCAAAUGAGCCCUUGCUAGGUAUUCAGGAGCCAGAAGUGAAACGUAUCCAGCCCUUGAGCUCAACAACUUCAGGACUAUCCUGGAUUCAAUGGUCAUGUUGCAGCCAAGACUUUGUAAUGUGGGAAUCAUAAUUAGUUUUGUGCAAAGAAUAUGAGGGAGAGAAAAGGAAAUGAAUAGAGAUUUAGUACCAGGAAACUUGGACUAAUGAUGUCAAGGAAGAGGUCAGUAAAAAUUGGCUUAGCAAUUCAAUCAACCAGCACGUGUUUUUUUUCAUUUUCUUUGUGAUUGAAUUGAAGGUAAAGUUGUUUGCCAGGCACAAUCUGCAAUUCCUUGCAAGCACAGAAAACAAAGGGAAUACUCCAAGCUUGGAUGUUUCCAGUCAAGAUGGUGCCAGUAUAUAAUGCUCCCAUAGUUGAUGUUUUCCAGAUAGCAAACUAAAAAGCUUUUUACUUCUUUUAUGUCUGUUUUUAACCUUAAGUGUGUUUCUGGGACUGUUAGAGCCUGCCAUUUACUGCUUGGAGAUUGUUUGAGUGAUCCAGCACUUUGCCUGCUCCAAGAAGGUUCCAGGAAACGGGUGCGUACUUGGACGGCCUCAAAGUGAAGCAACUUCGAGACAGGGCACGAACUGAUGUUUGACUCCGUUUCACCAUUUUGAGCAUCCAUUAAUCGCCGAUUAAAGCAUCAAGGAAGACUGAGACAUCAAGCCGAAUGCAGGAGGCAAGCAAGAGUUUCAGCACCGACUGCCUGCCUUUUGAUCACUGCCAGAGAUGGAGUCUGUGAGUGGCCUAUCACUGUGUGGCUCACUCUGGCAGGUGGGUAGGCCUCUGCUUCCUGUGGUGCCCCUCUUUUUCGAUGAAUGUGGGAGAUAUUUGGAGGACGGUAUUGUGAUUCUGCGUUUAUGGAUUGAACUAUUGUGUUCAUGAACUGUGGACUCUUCAGACUUAUAUUUUUUAUAUUCUGUGUCAUUUUUUCACCUGUUCCUUUUCCAUCUUGUUGUGCAAGAGGAGGGUGUUUGGUGUUGAUGUGCUGUUUGUUCUUUUGUGCAGGGGAGGGGUUGAUGUUCCUAUUCUGUUUUUGCAGAGGAAAGUGAGGGGGAUGAUCAGGAUGCUUUCCUUUUUUGUCUGGGGCAUGAGUUUGAUGUUUCUUUCUGAACAACUUUCAUGCUCUUUCUUUGUUUUGUGGCUAUCUGGAGAAGACAAAUCUUGGAGUUGUAUAUGGAUACAUGUUUUCCUAAUAAAUGAGUCUUUGAACCUUUGAAA